rnacentral:rRNA from 1 species
CAUGAAGCUGGAAUCGCUAGUAAUCGCGGAUCAGAAUGCCGCGGUGAAUACGUUCCCGGGUCUUGUACACACCGCCCGUCACACCAUGGGAGUCAGUAACGCCCGAAGCCGGUGACCCAACCAAACGGAGGGAGCCGUCGAAGGUGGGACCGAUAACUGGGGUGAAGUCGUAACAAGGUACC